GAUUGGUGGCCUGAGAGAAUUCCGCCAGCCGGGCUCUGUUCUCAAAUUCCUAACUGACAUCUGGGGCCAAAAUUUAAGUUAAUGCAGAUCCUCAGAUACACGAGGUAUCCUGGAAACCCUGCAAACCCUAGACAAAUUUGGGAAUGGGACAAGGGCCGGCAUCGGCGCGACGGAAUGGUCUACGAAAGGAAUGGUCUCGAUUUGCGGAUUGUCGCGGAAAACCCGAAAAGAGGUCACUACCGCGAGCGAUUUUUUGUAACCUUAUCAACCUUUGCAAAGUAAGUUUAUUCAAAGGAAAAUCGGCAUACGUACUCCCUCGGCCCUCUUUUUUCUUCUCCAAUUAGAAUUAGCCAGAUCUUUGAAGGUUUUAGUAACUAAUUUUUGUUUGUUUAUUAGGAGAUCUUAGUACAGGAAGUAGCUUAAUGUCUGCUUCCUUUCCUCACUCUUGUCAUCAGUGCCUCAAAGAAGCCUCCCGGAAGUUUCUCCUAAAACCACUUUUAUAUUUCUUUUACUUAAGCCCUAAUGUGAUCCCUAGUUACAGCAUAAACAGGAGAAACACCUCCCAUCACAAAUCCGAUCCUGUUACUGAGGAAGAAGGGGAGAGUGGACAUUAGGACGCUUAAGGAAAGGUUUCAUGCCAUGCUCUCAAGUCACCAGGAAAUGUGUGCUUCAAAAAGAAGAGUUAGCUUCGUCCAGUGACCUUGACCAAAUAGCCUUGUGUUUUCUGGAGUACUGCUAUUUAAGCUUGUUUCUAUGUAAAUUUUCUCAUUAGUAGAUAUUGAAUUGUAAAAGUAUGUUUAUUUAAGCUAUGCUUGGUUGUUGGAAUGUUUUUUACUACCACAUCAAGCACUGCAGUGAGUAUCCAUAAAGCUAAUUUACUUACUUAGGCUAAAUCAUGGAGGUAGGACUUUAUGUAUAUUUAAUUUUUUUUAGAGACUAGAGUCUAGAAAUACUGUGUUAGAUGCAAUCACACCAUUGCAGGUAGCCAAUCUGAAGGCAAUUUUAUUACAGUAAAACGAAAAGGGAUGUUUAUCGUGAAACAAAAACAUAAGUUGCAGGUAAAGUAACAUUAAAUACAUAGGAAUGACUUUGUCCCCACUCAACCCCCACUGAACCUACAGUAAAGAGAUGUAAGAUGUAAGCCAACAAGAUGGCUAAAGGCACUUGCUACCAGGCCUGACAACCUAACUGGAACCUUCUGGAACCACGUGGUAAAAGGAGAAUACAGUUGUCUUCAGACCUCUGCAAGCAUGGGCCAUAGUAAAUAUAAUGUAAUGAAAGAAAAGUAAACAUUUCCCAAAGUGUAAAGAAGAGAGGAAGCAAGAAAAGAAAAAAAAUAAAUAAAGUAAUGCUUUGGAAGAUACAAAUCAGAAAAGAACAAUUCACCAAUCCAGACACGAGAGCCAGCUCCAAAUCAGAAAUAAAGGAACGGGAAGCCAGCCUAGCUUAUCCUGAGGAACUCUCUAAACAAACAGGAGCGGAGAUUUAGCUCAAGUCUUUACCAUUUCCUGCUUGGAUUUACUACAGCCACUGAAAUAUGUGUCUAACACAGGACCUGUCCUGUGUACUCUGCACACACAGUGUCCCUUACUGCAGGACCUCUCCUGUGUACUCUGCACACAGUGUCCCUCUCUGCAGGAUCUCUCCUGUGUAUUCUGCACACACGGUGACCCUCUCUGCAGGACCUGUCCUGUGUACUCUGCACACAGUGUCCCUCACUGCAGGAUCUCUCCUGUGUACUCUGCACACAGUGUCCCUCUCUGCAGGACCUCUCCUGUGUACUCUGCACACAGUGUCCCUCACUGCAGGACCUGUCCUGUGUAUUCUGCACACACGGUGACCCUCUCUGCAGGACCUGUCCUGUGUAUUCUGCACACACGGUGACUCUCUCCUCCACCACCAAUGACUUUUCUAUAGCAAAAAUCUAAUUCCACUGGUAAAAGUCCUGGGUUGGCAUGCCCUGUUUUUCUUGUUCUUUUUAAAAUAAAAUUUUAGGUAAAUUUACAAAGUAAUGAGUGUUGUUUUAUACACAUAUAUCAAUGGUUUUUUGCUUUUGCUCAUCCUUGGUCUUUCCUCUCUUCCUUCUUCUCCUCUUCCUUCCCAAAAAUACAAUAUAGGUUUAUUCUCUCUCUCUCUUCCCCUCUUGGGGGGGGCAGUCCUUGCCUUCCGCUUUGUUGGAGACAGGAUGAUAUCUCUUUAAAACAAAGACCCUGAGGUCUCAUUUGACACGCCCACUCCUACACAUCUUGACUGAUAGUGCUUGAAUGUGAAAUGGCUCCAGUAGGCUAUAUUUGAACAUUUGGUCCCCAGAUGUGUGGCUGUUUGGAGAAUCUGGGGGAUCUUCAGGAGCUGAGACCCAGAUUAAGGUGGUAGGUGCCUGGGGGAGAGCCUAAGGGGGUUGUCACCUGACCCUGCUUCCACUGCAUCCUGAUCUGCUAUGAUUGUGAGGAGCCUGAGCUACAUGCUCAGGGACACACCUUCCUUGCUAUGACACACUCUAGUCUGAAAUCCUGGAGUCAAAGAAACUUUGCCUCCCUUACACUGUUGGCAGGUGGUCUGUCCAGCAGCUGAGAAAAGAGAUUAAUACACCUACUCAUGUCUAAUUAAGAAAAAAAAAAUGUGGAGGCUGGAGAGGCAGCACAGCAGCUGAGAGUGGUCCUGCUAUUCCAGAAGACUAGCAUCGGUUCCCAGCUCCCAAUCCAGUGGCCCAGGAUCACUGUAAUUCCAGCUCGGGCAUCUGCUUCUGGUUUCUCACGAGUACAUUUGCAUAUCCCCACACAGACAAAGAUAGAUAGAUAGAUAGAUAGAUAGAUAGAUAGAUAGAUAGAUAGAUAGAUGGAUGGAUGGAUGGAUGGAUGGAUGGAUGGAUAGAUAGAUUAGAGAUAUAAAAUUUUAAAAUAAAAAUAAAUCUUUU
rnacentral:lncRNA from 1 species